UUGUUCUUAGGCGAGGAAAGUCCGGACUCCGACGGAAAAGAUGCCGGGUAAUUACCGGGAAUCCUGUGUUUCUUUGCGUUUUUGCGAAAAGCACGGGAUUACAGAAAGUGCAACAGAAAAUUACCGCCCGUAAGGGUAAGGGUGAAAAGGCAGUGUAAGAGACUACCGUGCAAAUGGUAACAUUUGUAGCAGUGCAAACCUCAUCCGGAGCAAAAUAGAGCAGAAGCCACUGCCUUUCCGUGCAACGGCUUCGGGUAUAUUGCUGGAGACCUCUGGCAACAGACGGGACAAGAUAGAUGGUCGUGUUGCUUUGCAACGACAGAAUCCGGCUUACCGUCCUGCCUG
rnacentral:RNase_P_RNA from 1 species